rnacentral:lncRNA from 1 species
CACACACACACACACACACACACACACACACACACACACACACACACACACACACUGGACACACACACACACACACUGAAACACACACACACUGGACACAGCACACACACACUAGGCACACACACACACACUGGCCACCCACACACACUGGACAAACACCCAUACACACACACACUCACUCAAACGGACAUACAAACACACUGGAAACACACUGGACACACACACACACACUGGACACACACACACACACUGGACACACACACACACUGGACACACACAAACACACUGGACACACACACACACACACACACACACACACACACACACUGGACCCACUAGAUACACACACACACUCACUGGACACACACACUCACUGGACACACACACUCACUGGACACACACUGACACACACACUGACACACACACGCUUGACACACACACGCUUGAUACACACACACAAACACACUGGAUACACACACACAAACACACUGGAUACAGAUACACACACACACACACACACACACACACACACUGGAUACACACACACACACACACACACUGGAUACACACACACACACACACACUGGAUACACACACACAAACACACACUGGACACACACACACACACUGACACACAUACACACUGAAACACACACAAUUGACAAACACACACUGGAAGAUGACACGUGUUAAAUCAGUUUCUGGACCACAGGUUCUAGAACAGCUUCUAUCCCAGUUCUAUCUGCCUGUUAAAUCAGUUUCUGGACCACAGGUACUAGAACAGCUUCUAUCCCAGUUCUAUCUGCCUGUUAAAUCAGUUUCUGGACCACAGGUUCUAGAACAGCUUCUAUCCCAGUUCUAUCUGCCUGUUAAAUCAGUUUCUGGACCACAGGUACUAGAACAGCUUCUAUCCCAGUUCUAUCUGCCUGUUAAAUCAGUUUCUGGACCACAGGUUCUAGAACAGCUUCUAUCCCAGUUCUAUCUGCCUGUUAAAUCAGUUUCUGGACCACAGGUUCUAGAACAGCUUCUAUCCCAGUUCUAUCUGCCUGUUAAAUCAGUUUCUGGACCACAGGUUCUAGAACAGCUUCUAUCCCAGUUCUAUCUGCCUGUUAAAUCAGUUUCUGGACCACAGGUUCUAGAACAGCUUCUAUCCCAGUUCUAUCUGCCUGUUAAAUCAGUUUCUGGACCACAGGUUCUAGAACAGCUUCUAUCCCAGUUCUAUCUGCCUGUUAAAUCAUCAACCUAGAAAAAGAAACGCACACCUUUAAAGGCGAGGUGCUGGCUAGCGGAGUAGAACACUAGAAAAUAAAGGAUAAGUUCAAGGAGAGGGGGUACAACAAUGAUCAGAUUAAUACUGCCAUUGAGAAAAUUCAAAACAAAACGAGACAUGACCUUUUUCAAGGUCAGUCUCGCAAAAAGACGCAUUCUUGCGUUCUCACUACCCGCUACUCAAAGUGCUCUGAACAAAUUAAAGGAAUCGUUCACAAACAUUGGCACAUUCUGAAAUAUGAUGAUAGUCUCGUUAAUGUGUUUUCUGACCUUCCCCUGGUCGUAUUCUCGCGGGGAAGAAAUCUCAGAGACCAAUUGGUACACUCUGAUUUACCACCCCAAGAUAUUCCUGAACAACGUCUAUUUGCGCCCAUACUGGAUGGAAAUUACAAGUGUAAUGGCUGUGCUCAAUGUAAUGGCACUUAUAAAUGUAGAUCCUUCAAACACCCCCAAACAGGGAAAUCUAUCCCAAUUAAAGGUGUUAUUACGUGUUCCACUAAGGCAGUUAUUUAUCUUAUCCUUGUCCUUGUGGUAAAAAUUAUGUGGGUAAAACAAAGCGUGAAUUAAAAGUACGUAUCUCAGAGCAUCGUAGCACCAUUAGGUGCAAAAACUUAACUUACCCAGUUGCGGCCCACUUUUGGAAGCAAACCAUCCGAUUUCGUCUCUGCGUUAUAUUGGUAUUGAACAUGUCACCCUCCCGAGGAGAGGGGUGACCUUGAUAAUUUAUUGUUGAAACGAGAGGCUGCCUGGAUCUUUAAUUUAAAGACCCUUGCUCCCUUCGGUCUCAACAUAGACUUUGAUCUGAAGCCAUUCUUGUGAUUAUUGUGAUUUUGCCAUUGUAAUUGUUUGUUAGAUACAUUUUAGACUACAAAUGCUAUGAUCGUAUGCUAUCCAUUUGUUUGUCUUUUGUAUGUUCUUUGUAUGCCAUUUUUUUUAAAUAUUUGAGUUAACCAAUGAUAUUAGGCCAUACUUGGCCAUGAUUACAAACACCUGUGUGUCUCUUGACACUAUAUAAAUGACUCAUCUCGCAGUGUUUGAUGAUACCCUGAUGAAGACAGCUUCGCUGUCGAAACGUUGGUGAUUAAAUUUUUGCAUCUGAGCUCUUAAGAGUGUGCGUUUCUUUUUUCUAGAAGAUACUCUACACCACCAUUAUUUAGGGAGGUCACAUUGUAGAUACACUACACCACCAUUAUUUAGGGAGGGUAACAUUGUAGAUACUCUACACCACCAUUAUUUAGGGAGGUCACAUUGUAGAUACUCUACACCACCAUCUAGAAUACAGUAGGACCUCUUUCCAUUUGUCCUAUUGAAACACACAGAAAACUAUAGUAUUUAGCCUAAAGCAGCAUAUGAUUUUACAGUAGACUAUAGAUGUAGGCUACUGUAUAGUCACAUGGCUCAGUGUUAAAAUGUUAGAGCAGCCCAUUGGUCUGAACAAAUCCUCUUAGUGAAUGUCCCUUAUUGAGAAAGAAUUAUCAAAAUGUAGGAGAAUACUGUAUUUUGAAAUGCAAAUACUAUUGAGUCUGUAGACAAAUUGAAAUGUUGAUUCGGUCAGUGGAUCUGCGUGAGGGAUGCAUCAAAUGAAUUAAGGCAUUUUGGAGGGGUUGAAUGUUGCACCAUUGAUAAAGCAGAUCAACUGAGCUAGGGUUAGAGUAAGGAAGAAAACUACAAAAUGGCGCCAUAUUUGUAGUUCACAACUCUUCUGGUUUCUGUAACAAUGUCAGUUGUUGUCUUAAGCCUGACUAACCGAUGUCUUUAUAUAGCCUUGCUACUCUUAUUUUCAAAUGUAUUUUUACUGUUGUUUUAUUUCUUUACUUACACACACACACACACACACACACACACACACAUGCCUUUUUUUUCGCACUAUUGGUUAGAGCCUGUAAGUGAGCAUUUCACUCUAAGGUCUGUUGCAUUCGGCACACGUGACAAAUAAACUUUGAUUUGAUUUGAGACCUAUUUAUUAACAUAAAGUCCACCACUGUAAGAGUCCUCAGUUGUAGUGAGAACAUUGUGUCAUAUGUUUAAGGGGGGUUUCAUGACUGUGAUUCCAAAAUGUUCCAAUGCUGAGGAACUGUGUGUCAUUUUUUUCCCAGUACGGGAAAAUAAAAAUGUAUGAAAUGUAUGCAUUCACUACUGUAAGUCGCUCUGGAUAAGAGCGUCUGCUAAAUGACUAAAAUGUAAAUGUAAAACUGGAAUGGUUUGAAUACACCUGGGCUUUCUGUGAAGAACUACAA